GUUCAUAUAAAAAGCACUCAAAUGUUUCGGAGCUGGACCAACUAGAUUAACGGGCUCCAUCUCAACCACUGGAGUUCAUUAAUGAAUGCUUUAAAACAUGCCCGUUGCAUGUUGCCUCCAGGUAGGUAACGCUUUGCCUCCGCACGUGAUCUUUAUGCAGAUAAGAAUGUGACAAGCACUUUAGCUUGAGUGACGUCAAUGUUUCUCUUUCUUUCUCUUUCUCUCUCUUGUUGUUUCCAAGUGGUCUUGAAACAAGUUGAUUUUCUUCAAUUAUGAUUUGACUCUGAAAAUGUUUUGAAGUAUUUAGUUUAGUUUUUUUGUUGUCUUUCUGCGCCUUAAAUUCAUUAUGAAGUCCAGUAUCCCGCUCAACCUUCCUGCUUCAUUUCUCUAUCUACAUUUGUAUUUUUAUUUCUGUUUUGGUAGAAUGCCUUCCUGUUUGUCCAGCAUUUGUUUGUUUGUUGAUGAAUCAUUACAACAUAGUUUUUAGCAGCUGUCAUCAGGUUUUCUUCUUUGUUGUUGUCUGUCUGGAGAACAUAGGCCCUCACU